CCCAGGUCAUGGCUCCCUUACGGGAGGUGGCCGGAGCUGAGGGAGUCGUUCGAGUCCAUGUUCCUUUUUCCCUUGUGGAUCUGUCCGCCAUUAAAAAGUGCUGAGGCUCCUUCUCUGCCAACCCCACCCAAUUUAUCAAGGAAUUCAGAUAUCUUACACAGGCCUAUGACCUCACCUGACAUGACACCCACCAUGACAGCAGAUGAGCGUGACCGAAUACAGGUGGCAGGAAGAGAGUAUGCUGACAGGGCCCACAUGGCAGACUCCACCACAGCGGUAGGUGCUGAGACAGUCCCCGCAGUUGAUCCUGGCUGGAGAUAUCAGGAAGGUGACCCUGGCUGCCGGCAACAUGACUACAUGUUGCAAUGCCUUAUGGCAGGAAUGGAACAAGCAGCCCAAAAGGUAGUAAAUUAUGACAAAUUGCAAAAAGUCACCCAGGGUCGAGAAAAAAAUGCAGUCAUGUUUUUGAGCUGCCUCACUGAGGCUAUGCAGCACCAUACUCAACUCUCCCAGAGGACCCUGCUGGGGCGGUAGUUCUGGCCACCCACUUUAUCACCCAGUCAGUCCCUGAUAUCAGGGGGGAAAAAAAAACCUCAAAAAGGCUGAACAGGGCCCUCAGACCACCACAUGAGACCUGGUGAAUAUGGCAAUUAUAGUUUUCAACUCCUGAGGAGGAUGCUGAGGUAGCCCGACACAAACAAGCCAAACAGAUGGCUGCCAUGCAAGCCCAAGGCCUGGUAGCUGCCCUGUGGCCGGCACCUCAGAAGGGGGUCCCUAGGUGCAGUCUUCAAAUGCAGCAAGCCAGGCCUCUGGGCCCAUGAAGGCCUGGAUCCCGGGCCGCCCACUAAACCCUGCCUAGGGUGUGGCAAAAUGGGUCACUGGGGCUCUGACUGCCCCAAAAGAGGGAGACGAGAUCCACUCCUGACGCCUCCACGCCGAGAGGAGAUCCACCACUCUGAUUUCAACCUGGCCAUGGUGGGAUCUGCUGAAGAUUGAUGGGCCCUGGAUUCAACCACCCCAUUACCCUCGCUGAGCCCAGAGUCCAGCUUCAGGUUGGCGGGGAACGCGCCUCCACCAUCGGUCCAGUGGCAGUUAGUCAGAUGCUCCUGCACCCCCUGCGCACCAGAGGGCCCCAGAUGGAAGCAGCAGAGCGGUCUCAGGGCUCAGCCCUUGUCCUUUUAAGGCCGGAGCCGGGGAGGAGGGAAGAGAAACAUGGCGGAAACUUUCCUGCCGCCUUCCGCACCUGGUGUGGCCAGCCCUGGACUCUCCUGCCUUCUGCCUUUGGCGCGCCCAUCAGCAGCUGAACAGAAACAUCGUCUCCCCUUGGCCAGGACAGGACGCCAUCAUGCUGUGGCCACCGCUCAUUGGACAAGGGCCUCAAUAAGAGAACAAGAUCAGCCCUUUGGGUGUGACUCCCUGGCCUCUGUCCAGACCGCCGGACCUCACCCGAGAGCUUUUUGCCGAAUAAAUUUUGGCUUUGCUAAA